GUUGAACUUGUCAUGUGUCUUCUAUUUGGAGAGUGAGCUUUCCCUUCAUAAUUUCUCCGUGAUCUUGUGGUGCUCUGUGAGAUUCUUCUUGUUUAUUUUUGCCCUUGUUCUCAGCCCACAGGUGUUGUCAUCGCUGAGACUCCUUGGAAGAUAAGAUGGCCCCUUACUCUCUCUAACAACAGACUUCCAAGAGGAAUUUCUCUAUGAUCUUGUUCCAGGAAUGUGUUUCCCAAGAAGCAAGUCUGGAUUCAUCUUAUGUACACUCCUGGCCUGUCUCUGAAAUUCGGGGAUCUGCUCAGCAGACCGGAACAACCCAGGAGGCAUCUGGGCUCUGGAAGGAAAUACAAGCCAGCCAGUUCCAGCAGCUUUUUCCCAAAGCCUGGAGCAGGCUCUGCUCUGUAGCUACUAGCAUUUUUACGACAGUAACCUGAGGCCACUCAUCUUAGGUCUGAUUGAUGAGUAGGUCAGAAAUCAUCCCAGCGUGGAACCCUCCUUGACUCACGCUGUCUGGGUGAACACACAGACCCAUUCCACUGUUUCCUGGCCAGCUUGACUUCACUCUUCUUAUUUUUCUUGGGCUAAGAAAAGACAUUCUUUGCUGGAUAUAAAUAUCAUGCAUUUCAGAAAGUUCAUAUGUACAAAUAACAUGGAUUCGGGAUCAUUACAGUUGUUAAUUUUAGUAAAAUAAUUUUUUUCUUUGGCUUGCUUCUUGAAUUCUUUAGUGAUCUUGGACAUACAAACACA
rnacentral:lncRNA from 10 species